CCUCUUUCAGCAGGGAACGAAGCGAAAGUGACGGUACCUGCAGAAGAAGCGCCGGCUAACUACGUGCCAGCAGCCGCGGUAAUACGUAGGGUGCAAGCGUUGUCCGGAUUUAUUGGGCGUAAAGAGCUCGUAGGCGGUUAGACACGUCGGAUGUGAAAACUGGGGGCUCAACCCCCAGCCUGCAUUCGAUACGGUCUGACUAGAGUGUGGUAGGGGUAACUGGAAUUCCUGGUGUAGCGGUGAAAUGCGCAGAUAUCAGGAGGAACACCGAUGGCGAAGGCAGGUUACUGGGCCACCACUGACGCUGAGGAGCGAAAGCGUGGGGAGCAAACAGGAUUAGAUACCCUGGUAGUCCACGCCGU
rnacentral:rRNA from 1 species